rnacentral:rRNA from 1 species
UGGGGAAUAUUGGGCAAUGGGCGAAAGCCUGACCCAGCAACGCCGCGUGAGGGAAGAAGGGUUUUCGGCUCGUAAACCUCUGUCCUAUGGGACGAAGGAAGUGACGGUACCAUAGGAGGAAGCCCCGGCUAACUACGUGCCAGCAGCCGCGGUAAUACGUAGGGGGCGAGCGUUGUCCGGAAUGAUUGGGCGUAAAGGGCGCGUAGGCGGCCUGCUAAGUCUGGAGUGAAAGUCCUGCUUUCAAGGUGGGAAUUGCUUUGGAUACUGGUGGGCUGGAGUGCAGGAGAGGAAAGCGGAAUUACCGGUGUAGCGGUGAAAUGCGUAGAGAUCGGUAGGAACACCAGUGGCGAAGGCGGCUUUCUGGACUGAAACUGACGCUGAGGCGCGAAAGCGUGGGGAGCAAACAGGAUUAGAUACC